rnacentral:misc_RNA from 1 species
GUUUUGGUUCUCGAUUCUAUAGAAUUACAGUACCUUUCAAACAGGAGCAGAAAACGGAAAAUGAAAAGAAAAAAAACAGUUCCCGUUCUUCUUUCUAAUUUUCUGAUUAUAUAGCUUAAUAACAUUUUAUAAUUUGUACUCACUCGCUUAACAAAACAAAUGUUAGAAUUAACAAAAUCUUUUAGGGUUUUUCCCUGAGAAGGGAAGCCAAUCCAGUGACGACCACUUUGGGUUUCUUCGGCUUCACUGCCGGAGGUUGCCACGUCAUCAUUACCGGCUUCUCUUCCUCGCCGGAAGUAUUCUCCAACGGAUUUUUUGUUGGAUCGGAGUCUAACGGUACCGUUUUAUCAGAAAAAAUCAAGUCCAACUCGCCGUACUCACUUUCCGACUCCGUGAUCUCAGCAGCGGCGUUUGAUGAUUCAACCGCAGAUGUGACUCUAGUAUACGAGCUGAGCCAUUUGGCUUUCAUGUACUCCGGGUUGCGCCAUGGAGCGAUGUGCAUACCUUUCUUCUUCAAGCUUUGUCGAGCUGCUUCUGAGACGAUUGACACUAUUUGCACAAGUCGAUCGGCUUUGCCGACGAAGAUAAACGGGAGCAAUUGCAGAAUUGAUUUGUACCUUCCCGUCGAUCGCGCUACUUCAAAUUCAGAUCUGAAAUCUACGUCGAGUAUCACUCUUUCGCCUUCCUCAAUCACAUCAAUAUACUCAUAUUCACCUGCAGGAGUAGAAGAAGCUUUUUCCCAUUUGGAUUUGCAGAUUGAAGCUUUAUAGCCAAGUGCUAAAAGUUCAUCAGUAACAAUUUUUCUCAAAUCGUCCUUACGCUUGCAAGAUUUGUUCUCUUCAACGAUUUUUGAAGUUUCAGCUAAUAGAUUCCUCUCGGUAACACUUGCACAGGGAAUUAAGCUCUUUAGAGUGUCGGAAGAAUCCCCAAACGAAGAGGAGUUGGUAACAGAGUCGAAAUCAAACUCAUCAUCGGAGCUAUCGUUGUUGCCAUUAAAGCAAUUGCAUUUACGGCCAAAUCUAGCGGCAGACGGCUUAUCAUUGUUCUCUUCUAUGAAAUUCUGAACCAAUUUGUCCAAAGAAACCGAAUUCGGCUCAAACUCAGCGGCUGCUCCAUCAUUAGCAGCGCCGGCGGCACCUGGCUUCUCAGCGGCCGACGAAAUCCGUAAAACACUAGGGAACGGCCGAUCAAAGAACUUUUUGAUUCGUGCUUUCAGCAAAGGCUUUACUGCAUCAUUUUUAAUCGAUUCUCUGUAUGUCGAAGAAUCAAUCGGUUGAACCUUCAUCGGAAAAGGCAUGUCUAUCAACCACAACCACAACCAAAACAGGUACUACUUCUUCUACUGUAAAACUCUCUCUCUCUGCAGCUUAAUUAUACUCUUUUUGUCAUUUUCUGCUGAAUUCUCAGAACUUAAAAAACCUACUCGCUUUGCGUGUCUAGAUCAGAAUCCUUUAAAUGCCUAAAUCCUUAAUCACAGAAAUACAUGCAAAUUCACAGAAAUCAAUGCUUUGAAAAGAAGCGAGUUCCUAAUUCAUUCACACCUAAUUCACCUUUUCCUUUUCACACAUCAAAAACCCGUUUCCAACACAAUCACACAUAAACCGUUCACCAUUAUCAUCUUCACGUUUCCAACUGUGAUGAAAACAAAAAAAAAGUUAAAAUUGUCAAAUUUUGAUACCUUUUUCUUCCGUUCACUCUUUGGAGUUGUUGGCGUAGUUGAACAAGAAUAGAAUGAGUGUAACCAUAGUCGCCGGAGUACCUUUCCUUUUCACGGGAAGGAGAGAAUUAUGUGAAGGAGAGAAAAAGUGGGCCUAUAUUUCUUUUUUCUAUUUUUAUCUCAGUUUUGGUUUUUU